AUGAACUUCUGAAGGCAUUGGAUUACUGCCACUCACAAGGUAUUAUGCAUCGAGAUGUGAAGCCCCAUAAUGUCAUGAUUGAUCAUGAGCAGAGGAAGCUUCGUCUUAUAGACUGGGGACUAGCGGAGUUUUAUCAUCCUGGGAAAGAAUACAACGUUCGUGUUGCUUCAAGAUACUUCAAAGGCCCUGAACUUCUUGUUGAUUUGCAAGAUUAUGAUUAUUCUUUAGACUUGUGGAGCCUUGGCUGUAUGUUUGCUGGAAUGAUAUUCCGAAAGGAGCCAUUCUUCUAUGGGCAUGAUAAUU
rnacentral:misc_RNA from 1 species